CCUACGGGAGGCAGCAGUGGGGGAUAUUGCACAAUGGGGGGAACCCUGAUGCAGCGACGCCGCGUGGGCGAUGGAGUGCUUCUGCAUGUUAAGCCUUAUCAGCCGGGAAGCAAAUGACGGUACCUGACUAAGAAGCCCCGGCUAAAUACGUGCCAGCAGCCGCGGUAAUACGUAUGGGGCAAGCGUUAUCCGGAUUUACUGGGUGUAAAGGGGGCUGAGGCGGCCUGGCAAGCCUGAUGUGAAAUACCGGGGCCCAACCCCGGGGCUGCAUUUGGAACUGCCAGGCUUGAGUGCCAGAGAGGCAGGCGGAAUGCGUGGUGUAGCGGUGAAAUGCGUAGAUAUUAGGAAGAACACCAGUUGCGAAGGCGGCCUGCUGGACGGUGACUGACGCUGAGGCUCGAAAGCGUGGGGAGCGAACAGGAUUAGAUACCCUUGUAGUC
rnacentral:rRNA from 1 species